rnacentral:rRNA from 1 species
GAUGAACGCUGGCGGCGUGCCUAAUACAUGCAAGUCGAGCGAAUGGAUUAAGAGCUUGCUCUUAUGAAGUUAGCGGCGGACGGGUGAGUAACACGUGGCUAACCUGCCCAUAAGACUGGGAUAACUCCGGGAAACCGGGGCUACUACCGGAUAACAGUUGAACCGCAUGGUUCGUAAUUGAAAGGCGGCGUCGGCUGUGACUUAUGGAUGGACCCGCGUCGCAUUAGGUAGUUGGGGAGGGAACGGCUCACCAAGGCAACGAUGCGUAGCCGACCUGAGAGGGUGAUCGGCCACACUGGGACUGAGACACGGCCCAGACUCCUACGGGAGGCAGCAGUAGGGAAUCUUCCGCAAUGGACGAAAGUCUGACGGAGCAACGCCGCGUGAGUGAUGAAGGCUUUCGGGUCGUAAAACUCUGUUGUUAGGGAAGAACAAGUGCUAGUUGAAUAAGCUGGCACCUUGACGGUACCUAACCAGAAAGCCACGGCUAACUACGUGCCAGCAGCCGCAGUAA